UACGGAAGGCAGCAGUGGGGAAUAUUGCACAAUGGGCGCAAGCCUGAUGCAGCCAUGCCGCGUGUAUGAAGAAGGCCUUCGGGUUGUAAAGUACUUUCAGUCGUGAGGAAGGUGUUAAGGUUAAUAACCUUAGCAAUUGACGUUAGCGACAGAAGAAGCACCGGCUAACUCCGUGCCAGCAGCCGCGGUAAUACGGAGGGUGCGAGCGUUAAUCGGAAUUACUGGGCGUAAAGGGCACGCAGGCGGUUAAUUAAGUUGGAUGUGAAAUCCCCGGGCUUAACCUGGGAAUGGCAUUCAAGACUGGUUAGCUAGAGUCUUGUAGAGAGGGGUAGAAUUCCAUGUGUAGCGGUGAAAUGCGUAGAGAUGUGGAGGAAUACCGGGUGGCGAAGGCGGCCCCUGGGACAAAGGCUGACGCUCAUGUGCGAAAGCGUGGGGAGCAAACGAGGAUUAGAUACC
rnacentral:rRNA from 1 species